CUCAGGGGCCAGGUCCACCUCUGCCGCCGGAUUGGGGAAGGGCAGAGGAAGCCCUCCUGCAUGGAAGCUCCUCCCGGAGCUCCCGUGGGCUGGUUCUCGUGAGCCCAUGGAGCAUUGACAGCUGCAAACAAGUAGUGGAUUAAUGCUCAUCUGAUCAGAGAACGAAGGGUCUGUCCCUCUGUUGUAAUUUGAACUUCAAAAAGCAUGCGCUGGUUUGUGAAUGAGUGUUCCCAAUUAGAAUGUUCACACUGCACCUUCAUUCUGGAGCAGAAGAAGCUUUGAUGUUGCUCUAUUCCUUUCUCGUCUUUAUAAUACAGCAGUCUUGGUGCAUUAUGGUCACCUUUUUUGUAGAACCGUUUGAUGGAGUUUAAAUGGCUUUUGUGAAGCGAACAAGGAAUCACAGCUUGACAUCCCAGCGAGAACACCAGGUCAGUUUUGGCUGCCAAAUAGAAGCGUCUCAUUACACUUACAAUAGUGUAACAUAUAAAUAGUGUAAUGAGUACACAAAUUGCAUCCUAAAUGCAGUGUAAUGUGAAAUAUUUUGUCAGUUACUUACUGUUUCUCGAGGUAGAGGCCGAUGAGCUCAAAAAAAUAAGUAGAAAAACUAGGACCUUCAACAUUGUGCUUGAGGCACUCAGACUAAAGUGAAGUGAAACGCCCUCUCGCUGGUUAACGACUCAUCAACAUCCUCAUCCGAGAGCCUGCUUUGCACCACGAGGUUUUAGACUCAGCCUAACGACCAAAUUCACAGGGGCUCAUCGGAAGUGGUCCAACAGACAAUGCGGGGGAACUUUUUUUCUCACGCUGUGAUAUGAUUUAUUGUCCUUCUGCAUAUGUGUUAGGAUACAGCAUGUGCAUCAGUGUCACUAAUACUGCUGAAGACGUCAGUAAACAGCUGAGUAAACAGUGAGUUUGUUUAUUUUUAGGAUUCAGUACCAAACAACGUGUAGGGGUGAAGAAAUUGCACAAAUCACCUGUUGGUCUGAUGCUGGAGCCGAUUGGCUUUACUUCACCUAGGUUUGGUUACAUGUACAUCUAACACUUUGCUCAAAAGCACUACAAAAUCUUUUUUUAAAUACACUAAAAAAACAACAACAACAACAACAACAAAUCACUGAUCAUUUCUCUUUAUAGCAUUCUCAGAAAUCCUACACUUCCACCAGAACGUGAAGGCACCACCAUGCAGUCAGCCGGAGAGCCUUUUCCUACCAUCUCGGACGAUUACGUCACACUUGAGGCGUAACUUUCCUGUUCGCUGCACGCGUCUUCUUCUGUCGUCCCGAAUGGAGUCACCUGCGGCCCCCUGGGUCUCUGCUCCGGACUGGCCUCGGACGCAUCACUGGGCCGUCGUGACCGCGCUGUGUCUCGUCGCCGCCGUCUACAAGCUCGCGGCGCUGCUCGCGCAAAGGAGGCACGCGCUGCGGAACGCGGAGUCCUUCCCGGGGCCCCGCGCGCACUGGCUGUUUGGAAACGUCAGGGAGUUUAAACAAGAUGGGAAUGACUUGGACAGGGUUGUGAAAUGGGGGGAGCACGACCCGUAUGCUUUCCCCAUAUGGUUUGGUCCCUUUGUCUGUUACCUCAACAUUCACCAUCCGGAUUACGUGAAAACUGUUUGGACGUCAUCAGAGCCAAAAGAUCGUGUCGCAUAUAGCUUCAUUGAGGCGUGGAUUGGUGAAGGCUUAUUGGUGUCAAAAGGUCAGAAGUGGUUUAGACACAGGAGACUCCUAACCCCAGGUUUCCAUUAUGAGGUUCUGAAACCAUACGUAGAUCUGAUGUCCGACUCCACUGUGACUAUGCUGGACAAAUGGGAAAGAUACGCAAAAAGCAAUGAGUCCUUUGAGCUGUUCGAACACGUGAGCCUCAUGACCCUGGACAGCAUCCUGAAGUGCGCCUUCAGCGACGACAGCCACUGCCAGACCGAGAGUGGAACGAAUGCAUACAUCAAAGCGGUGUAUGAGCUCAGUUACAUCAUCAACCUGCGGUUCCGGACGUUUCCGUACCACAGCGACCUCAUUUUCUACCUCAGUCCACAUGGCUUCAGAUUUAGAAAAGCAUGCAAGGUGGCUCACAGCCACACCGAGGAAGUCAUAAGAAAAAGAAAAGAAGCACUCAAAGGGGUGAAUCGGCCCGACGGCAUCCGAGCCAAGCGGAACUUGGACUUUCUGGACAUCCUUCUCUCAGCAAGAGAUGAGAACCAACAGGGUCUGUCAGACGAAGAUCUACGAGCGGAGGUGGACACCUUCAUGUUUGAGGGCCACGACACCACCGCCAGCGGCUUGUCGUUCAUCCUCUACUCUCUGGCCUGCCAGCCGGAGCACCAGAGGCUCUGCAGGGAGGAGAUCCUUCGAACCCUGGACGGAAGGGACACCCUCUCGUGGGAGGAUCUCGGUAAAAUUCCCUACACCACAAUGUGCAUAAAAGAAUCCCUGCGCCUUUACCCCCCUGUGCCCGGAACGUCCAGAGUCACAACCAAACCCAUGACCUUCUUUGAUGGAAGGACUUUGGAAGCAGGUUGUCUUGUUGGAACAAGUGUGUUUGGGAUUCACAGGAAUGCGUCUGUCUGGGAAAACCCGAAUGUCUUUGACCCGCUGCGUUUUCUCCCAGAGAAUGUUUCCAAGAGGUCUCCACAUGCAUUCGUGCCCUUCUCAGCAGGACCGAGCUCCACCUUUUCACCAACACAGUACAAACUGUGAGGAUCAAACCCCAAAGGGAAACGAUUUGUGCAAAUCCCUGCUACCAGCAGAAAAAAAGGCACUCGUUGACUGCACAUGGACUCAUGGGGAACAUAAAAGGCUUAUCUUUGUGUUCCCCCUGCUCCAAUGUCCGACCCUUUGAAAGAUAAUAAGACUCAUUUGAAACUGCAUUGGGCAGACCUUCGCCAUGAAUGAGCUGAAAGUGGCGACAGCCCUGACGCUGAGGAGAUACCAGCUGAUCGAGGACCCCACUCAGAGACCCAAGUUAUUAGCUCAGCUGGUGCUCCGCUCGAU